ACAUGGAAGUUCAUCAAUUGUUCUUUAUAAUGUCAAACAGCCCUCUUGUCCUAUCCUGAGACGCUCUAUUCAUAUACCCCAAAAGAUACUAAUAUUUUCCCAAACUAAAUAUAUGAAAGUUCAAAUAUAUAUGAAGUGGUGAUUGUGCAUGGCUGGUGUUGCUACACCAGCUUUACGGUUCACCUGGCAUUCUGUGCCGGAAUUGAUUCUUUGAUCUGGGCCAUCUGGCAGGGUCUUCGCAAGCCAAAGGUACUGGCAAAUAUAAAAAGUGGUGAUUGUGUAAAGCAUGCCAGUCUCUACAGCUACAUGAUCGAUAUCGUCGUUGGGUAGAGAACUACUAUAGGAGCGAGAGGCACAAGGAAUUCAUGCGUGGACUAGUUUUGGUGCUUAUCCAUGGCCAUGGAGACGUACAACACCAAGACGACGGAAAAAGGGCAGGGUUGCCGAAGCAAUCCUGUCAGCUCCGCUGCUACGCUGACUGAUGGGUUGUACGGUGCCUGGAGAAGGCAAACUAUUGGCUCUUGAUAAUGUGCAAUCCAACGGAAUCGAUCGGGGUGUGACUGUAUGUUUAUCCUUGGUUGCACGCUCGAUGAUUAACGGGAUCAUAGAAUUAUCCACACGUUCCGUGUCAUCUCGAUCCAUUGUUACGUAUGUUUCAACUAAGGUACUUGAAUGAUGCUAAUACGUGUAUUUUCACUCAAUU
rnacentral:lncRNA from 1 species